AUCCAGCUGACGAGUCUCAAAAAUAGGAUGAAAACGCGCAUCCUGGAU
rnacentral:hammerhead_ribozyme from 1 species